GAAACAGAUGCUAAUACCGGAUAACACCACUAGACGCAUGUCUAGAGUUUGAAAGAUGGUUCUGCUAUCACUCUUGGAUGGACCUGCGGUGCAUUAGCUAGUUGGUAAGGUAACGGCUUACCAAGGCAAUGAUGCAUAGCCGAGUUGAGAGACUGAUCGGCCACAUUGGGACUGAGACACGGCCCAAACUCCUACGGGAGGCAGCAGUAGGGAAUCUUCCACAAUGGACGAAAGCCUGAUGGAGCAACGCCGCGUGAGUGAAGAAGGGUUUCGGCUCGUAAAGCUCUGUUGGUAGUGAAGAAAGAUAGAGGUAGUAACUGGCCUUUAUUUGACGGUAAUUACUUAGAAAGUCACGGCUAACUACGUGCCAGCAGCCGCGGUAAUACGUAGGUGGCAAGCGUUGUCCGGAUUUAUUGGGCGUAAAGCGAGUGCAGGCGGUUCAAUAAGUCUGAUGUGAAAGCCUUCGGCUCAACCGGAGAAUUGCAUCAGAAACUGUUGAACUUGAGUGCAGAAGAGGAGAGUGGAACUCCAUGUGUAGCGGUGGAAUGCGUAGAUAUAUGGAAGAACACCAGUGGCGAAGGCGGCUCUCUGGUCUGCAACUGACGCUGAGGCUCGAAAGCAUGGGUAGCGAACAGGAUUAGAUACCCUGGUAGUCC
rnacentral:rRNA from 1 species